rnacentral:rRNA from 1 species
GUAGUCCACGCCGUAAACGAUGGGUACUAGAUGUUGCAGGAAUUGACCCCUGCAGUGUCGACGCUAACGCAUUAAGUACCCCGCCUGGGAAGUACGGUCGCAAGAUUAAAACUCAAAGGAAUUGACGGGGGCCCGCACAAGCGGUGGAGCAUGUGGUUUAAUUCGAUGCAACGCGAAAAACCUUACCUGGGUUUGACAUCCCAAGACAGCCGUAGAGAUACGGUUUCCCCUUCGGGGGCUUGGAGACAGGUGCUGCAUGGCUGUCGUCAGCUCGUAUCGUGAGAUGUCGGGUUAAGUCCCUUAACGAGCGCAACCCUUAUCCCUAGUUGCCAUCAUUUAGUUGGGCACUCUAUGGAGACUGCCGGUGUUAAACCGGA